rnacentral:lncRNA from 1 species
CUUGCAAUUCGCUAUCCAAAUCACAAACCCUCACCAGAGUACGGACGGUUAGUACACAAGCCACCACCAAAAUACAAUCUGCAUUUCCACACACCAGCAGUCCCAGUCAUUCCACAACCUUCAGAAACGUUUAAGACAAAACCAGUCGGGAAUAACAGGCCAAGUCCGGCUUCUAGACCUCCCGUGUCUCAUAUUCCUAGUGUUAAACCGCGUGCACCGCCACCACCGUCUACUCAAGAAGCAUUGACAGCCUAUUUUCACCACCCUGGACUCCUUCCAGAGGAGAAAACAGGAAACUAGACAAACCUACACUUCAUUAAAUUGCAACUUGUUUAUUGAAAUCAGAGUUUCUGAUUCCAUGUUCUACCUUAUAUUUAUCAAAUAUUCUCCUUUGUAGAUCAACGCUCCUGAGGUCGCUAGUAUCAAGUCUUGGUAACCAAGAAUAAGUCCUAUAUAUCCAGUAUUCUAGACGUUCUUUCUUUUAUUUGCCUAUAAAAAUAGAUUAUACACACUCUUGCACUUGUGAAUAAAACUAUCUGCUCCAUUGUAUAUGUAUCUCAGAAUGUCACCUUAGUUCAUCAUGAAUAACAAAAAACUACAACUAAAACCUUGCUUGUCAAAGUCUCAAAGAACAAGGUGCUCUUUCACACAACUAUACGCACAAAUUAACAUUAAAUAACAUUUACAGAAGCUUGUGAUUUCAUUGUCAUUGUGUCCUACCUGGGCUUUAAUAACUCGCCUUGCUCCUGGACUAAAUCUGCCCUUUCAAGUGUCUAUGUAUCUGAAGUUGUAUUUAGGAAUCAAGCCAAAAGGUAGCUCUGAACUGUCAAUGUAAGAUGUUAUGUAGGAAUGCAUUGUCUUAGUCUUUGAUUCAGUUCAGGCUUUUUGGAGAAAAAAUCACCUUUGAAUCCCAGUUAUAAAAUCUUUCUUGCAGAAUUCAGACUAUAAUUACAUAUCCGGUCUGGUAUUCUUGGAGAAGAAAUCGUCGCCUCUAGACUCUAAUCAGCCUCUAGAUUUAUGUACAACAUCUGAACCAAAAUGCCUCUUUAUUGCUUGAACUGACGAGGGCGAAAAAAUACACAUAUUCUUAAGAGUACAGAAAAUUCGGAGUGUACAUAUAAUUCCAGUUGACAUGGAUGACUAACAUAGAUCUUAUGACGUAGCUAAACAAUGUAGCUGGACAUAAGAGCACGUCUAAUAGGUUAGCUAAAUGAACUCCUUAACUCAUAGAUGUCUAAAAAAAGAGGUACUCUCAUUCCCUAAAUCACCAGCACAUCCUCAAAUCUUCUGCUCAUUACCUAUUUUUUAGUAACCUCUAGCAGUUAUCUAUUCAACAUUUAUAAAUAAAAAAUUCAUCUCCUUAUUCUUUCGUUAUCCUUUCCCCACUUCUCUCUCAAAUUUAUUAUUAAAAUAAACUAUAUAAUACAUCCUACUACUCUUUUUGCCACUUCUUACCAGGGCAUACCCUAAGAGUUCAUGCCUAAUUACACUCCAUGCCACUGAGUCAAAUAUUGACUGUCCAAAACUUUUCACUGCUUUACUACACGUCAAACGACAGAGUCGAUGACUUCCUAUUCUCUCUUAUUUUCCAAAUGGUUUACAACUAGCGAGUAAGUCUUAAAGUCCAAUAUCUCAACUCCAAUGUACACCAAGACAUCCUCAAUCAACCAAUAAAGACAGGUCUUUUGUUAAAAUCCACACCUCUACAUGUGGAAGAAAAAACUAACAUUCAACAAUGUAGACUUGCAUCUAUUAAGUGCUGUAGUGAUGACCAAGACCUCGUAUAAAAAGCCAUCCUAUAGUCUACAAGGUAACACGACAUUCAUCUCAAGAUACACCAAAAUGUCUCUCAUCUACUUGAACUUGCUCCUCAUUUUCGGAGUAUUGGUUCUCAAUUCCCCUUCCCUUGCAAUUCGCUAUCCAAAUCACAAACCCUCACCAGAGUACGGACGGUUAGUACACAAGCCACCACCAAAAUACAAUCUGCAUUUCCACACACCAGCAGUCCCAGUCAUUCCACAACCUUCAGAAACGUUUAAGACAAAACCAGUCGGGAAUAACAGGCCAAGUCCGGCUUCUAGACCUCCCGUGUCUCAUAUUCCUAGUGUUAAACCGCGUGCACCGCCACCACCGUCUACUCAAGAAGCAUUGACAGCCUAUUUUCACCACCCUGGACUCCUUCCAGAGGAGAAAACAGGAAACUAGACAAACCUACACUUCAUUAAAUUGCAACUUGUUUAUUGAAAUCAGAGUUUCUGAUUCCAUGUUCUACCUUAUAUUUAUCAAAUAUUCUCCUUUGUAGAUCAACGCUCCUGAGGUCGCUAGUAUCAAGUCUUGGUAACCAAGAAUAAGUCCUAUAUAUCCAGUAUUCUAGACGUUCUUUCUUUUAUUUGCCUAUAAAAAUAGAUUAUACACACUCUUGCACUUGUGAAUAAAACUAUCUGCUCCAUUGUAUAUGUAUCUCAGAAUGUCACCUUAGUUCAUCAUGAAUAACAAAAAACUACAACUAAAACCUUGCUUGUCAAAGUCUCAAAGAACAAGGUGCUCUUUCACACAACUAUACGCACAAAUUAACAUUAAAUAACAUUUACAGAAGCUUGUGAUUUCAUUGUCAUUGUGUCCUACCUGGGCUUUAAUAACUCGCCUUGCUCCUGGACUAAAUCUGCCCUUUCAAGUGUCUAUGUAUCUGAAGUUGUAUUUAGGAAUCAAGCCAAAAGGUAGCUCUGAACUGUCAAUGUAAGAUGUUAUGUAGGAAUGCAUUGUCUUAGUCUUUGAUUCAGUUCAGGCUUUUUGGAGAAAAAAUCACCUUUGAAUCCCAGUUAUAAAAUCUUUCUUGCAGAAUUCAGACUAUAAUUACAUAUCCGGUCUGGUAUUCUUGGAGAAGAAAUCGUCGCCUCUAGACUCUAAUCAGCCUCUAGAUUUAUGUACAACAUCUGAACCAAAAUGCCUCUUUAUUGCUUGAACUGACGAGGGCGAAAAAAUACACAUAUUCUUAAGAGUACAGAAAAUUCGGAGUGUACAUAUAAUUCCAGUUGACAUGGAUGACUAACAUAGAUCUUAUGACGUAGCUAAACAAUGUAGCUGGACAUAAGAGCACGUCUAAUAGGUUAGCUAAAUGAACUCCUUAACUCAUAGAUGUCUAAAAAAAGAGGUACUCUCAUUCCCUAAAUCACCAGCACAUCCUCAAAUCUUCUGCUCAUUACCUAUUUUUUAGUAACCUCUAGCAGUUAUCUAUUCAACAUUUAUAAAUAAAAAAUUCAUCUCCUUAUUCUUUCGUUAUCCUUUCCCCACUUCUCUCUCAAAUUUAUUAUUAAAAUAAACUAUAUAAUACAUCCUACUACUCUUUUUGCCACUUCUUACCAGGGCAUACCCUAAGAGUUCAUGCCUAAUUACACUCCAUGCCACUGAGUCAAAUAUUGACUGUCCAAAACUUUUCACUGCUUUACUACACGUCAAACGACAAACGCAAUUCUUCUUCCCUAUUUCAGAAACAAACGAAACUGCAGCUGUAGUACCGUCUGCUUUGCUUCCUUAUUUGCUUUGCUGUGAUUUCAAUUCAAAAUUCAAAUUCAUAUCAUUCAAACUCAUUCAGAUCUCAUCUCUUUUCAUACCGAAGCUCUCUCACCUCACACCUCCACCUGCUCCAUGUAAGUGCUCUUCUCUCUCUCCCUCUUUCUGCCCCCUCUCUCCCUCUCUCCGGUUGUCUCUAUAUCUCUCUCUUUCUGUUUCUUUAUGUUUCCAUCCGUCUCUCUCUUUCCCUUUCCCUGUCCCUCUUUUUCAGUAUGAUAUAUGGUUCGUAGAUAUUUGACUCCGGCACAUAUUUUUUUUCUUUUACAUAUCUGAGUUUUGAUGUUGCAGCUGUUUAGUUUAUUUUUUAAUUUACAUCCUCUCAUGUAUUUAUUGAUGAACUUGAGGUAAUGUUUGUCUGGGAAUCUAAUUUUGAUAGGUGAUUUUACUUAUAUUCACGAAGUGUUUGAUAAAAUGUGUCAUUGAAUAUUUUACUUUUUUCAUUAGUUAUAGUGGGUGUGUGUGUAUAUUUUUGUAUUCUCAUAUUUUUAUUCUCAAUAUUUGCAGUCCUAGGUGUACUCGGUGAAGAUUUUGGGGGACGUUCAAACUUUGUGUUAUUGGAUGGAAGGCAAAAAGAUGAUGGUCAGUAGUGCGACAUUGGAGAAUUCUGUUUGUUGCAGGUUUGACGAAUUUGAUGUUACUGCUUUCUUUGUUGUUUCUUCAACAUUAUUGUUUACCAUUUAUUAUAAUGUUUAUUCUUUUCCUUGGUUUGCUAUUGUUUGUCUGUGCAUAAGCAUAUAGUAGUCAUAAAUAAGAUAACUGGGUAACUAUACUAACAUUACACAUGACUACGAUAGAUAACAGGGCAACCAAGUGUUCUCUAUUAUGUGAGUUCAAUCUUUCAGGUAUUUUAUGGUUGUGAGGCAAAUGCUGUAACUUUCUUAUGUUAUGCUUUUGUGCAAUUAUCUCAUCCUCCCUCAGUAUCGGAUAUAACUCACCUGAAUUGUUUCAAUCACCCUCACUGAAACCCAAAAAUAUGAUACAUGUGAUUUUUUAAUAAUGAUAAAAAUUUAAAGAUAGUGGUACUGGUACUUUCUAAAUUGUUUGUAAUAUCAAAAUGAAUGAAGGUUUUUAGAUGUAUCUGUAAUUGUGUGAUUAUGCUAUUGAACACUGCAGGAUUCUCUGCGGCUUCUGAUGCAACACAAAUCUCAGUCCUUACUGAUGCCUUCAAGGUAUGUACCUUCAAUUUUGACUCAGGGAAAAUGAGAACGAAUUCAGGUUCUUUUAUAUGUUAUUUUAUUUAAAUCUUGCUGCAUACUCACAAUUUGAAUUCAACUAAAAUUUUAAGUUCUCUAUCAUUUCAAACUGCUCAUAUGAAAAUGAAAGAGGUGUUCUGAACUCUGAUUUUAAGUUCUUUAUCAUUUCAAACUGCUCAUAUGAAUUUGAAUUAGAACAAUUAUGCUACUAAACAAGUUAAACUACUUUGAAUUUGCAUCACAGUCAUACACACAACUGAUAUCUUACUAAUAAACUUAAGCAAAUGGCAGCAUAGCUUAAUUGAGAUUUUUUGACUAAUCUUUGUAAGUUCAUUCUGAAUGCAGGUGGCACCUCUGCUGUUUCAAGCAUUUUCAACUAUGGAUGGAAGAGGAACGAUAUCUCUAGGUUUCCGGGUGAAACCAUUGCUCAAGUUCUUCUCCAGUUUCUAUGGUGAGGGUGUCAGUGUAUAUACUUAAAACUUUGGGCGAUAAUAUUUCUUCGUUCAUUUGCCUUCCUUGCGAGAACUUAUAUGUGUGUGUGUGUGUGUGUGUGUGUGUGUGUGUGUGUGUGUGUGUGUGUGUGUGAUGCCUCUGUAGUGUAUAUAGAUUUGGUGGAUCCUAGCAGAUAUCUAUUUUGUGCUGCAUCAGUAGUGUUCCUUUAGCUAUAGAUUGAGUUUUCAAUUAUACAAAUGAUUUGGAGUUGUGUUUAAAUUUCAGUUGCAUGUUUGCUGUUUAUAACAGUUUUUAAUUUAUUAAUAAAUUGUCCUGUUGUUGAUCAUCUGUUUGUGUAUGACAUCCUGACCAUUUUUUCAUUAUUACAAAUUAGUUUCUAAGAUCAAAAUUGUGGGAGCUUCUCACAUUUGGUAUCUGUUGUAUGGAAGUAUGGUAUUGGCAUUUUUUUGAGGGUUGAAUAGGCCUCAGCAAUUUAUGUUGUUAAAAAUGACGUUAAUGUGAAUAGUUAAGAUGCUGAUCGAUAUGCCAUUUAUGUUGUUAUACAGGCUUGGAAGCUCACAGAUCGCAAUUGUUGUCACCACUGCCAUUUUUCUCACUUUUCUAUCCUAUUUAUAUGUAUGUUUAUGUCAAACCCCCCCCCCCCCUCCGGCAUUCAUAUUUAUACAAGCUAUGGAUAUCCGGUUUUAGUUCAAUAAAGUCAUGCUUUAACAUCAUUCAUGUCGAGGGAGCAUUUCUCUCUACAUUGUUGCAGGUGACAGGAACUCUGCAGAAACAAUUGCUAAUGUGCUCACAUCAAUUCCUCGCAUUCCAGUUGAGCUGCUGAUUUGGUUAAAGGUUGGGGAUUCAAGAUUAGAAAUUGCCAGUCCAAAAUCUGCAAUAUGUGCAACCAUGUUUUUAUCAAGCAAAACGUUGCCUGGUUUUAGCAAUGAAUUAUGCUAGAUAUGCAGCGAUGAUGGAGAUAAUUGAGUGCACAGGCUACAUCAAUUGCUACUUUUAUUCUGGCAUGAAGGCUCAAUAUUUGAGGUUUGAUGGGCCUAUCAUUACUAAACUAUUUAUGAAUACUCAGUUGCACAACACACAUACAAAUAUAAUGCUUUUUUUUACUACUCAGCUUGCUCAUUUUCUUUACAUUCAUUUUUAGGGCAUUUCUUUUCGAGCUUUCUUCUUCAUAAUCUCCAUCUCUCUCUUUCUUCUUUUUUUCAUUUUCUCUUAAAUUUAAGCAAAACCACUUGACUACUCCAUAAAUAUAUAUACCUAUGUUUUAGGAUGCAUUGUUCACUAUUCCACUCACAGGAAAUUGACUCCAAAUGUAUGAGCAUGUGUCUCGGAGUGCAUAGUUUUGUACAUUUUGAGGAAUUUUGUGGGAGUAAGAGAGAUAGUAAAAGGAGCACACAUUCAUAUCUAUGUUGUUAAUGUGAAUAGUUAAGAUGCUGAUCGAUCUGUCAUUUAUGUUGUUAAAAAGGCUUAGAAGCUCUCAGAUCCGAAGCCUCUAGCUGGAUACUUCGUCAUUACUUGCAACUUCCUAACAGACAACAGGCUGGUGGAAGUUUGUGCACAGUACACGCUUACUUAAAAAAUGGUGGAAGUUUGUGAAAUUUGGUGAUAUUAGUAGAGGUUAAUUCUGUGAAUUUUUGUGUGUUACAGGGGAGUGAGUAGUCAUCUUCUGAUGGCAACAUCACCGUCUCUGAAUUCUUCGCCUUCUGCUGACCCUCCUAUACCACACCUCUCAAGGUGAAAUCAGAAAUUUAGAGAGUUUCGGUAUGUAAUUCUAUUACUUCUGCUAUUAGAUUUCUGUUUGAUACAGUUUGAUUAUAUGUUGAAAUCCAUAUUAUGUCAUGAGAUAUGUUAUGCAGGGGGCACUUUGUCAAGUUAAAGGUAUUGCUUGGUUGGUUCAAAUGCCUAAUUGUACUAUGAAAAGUGCUUUGGUCUAAAAUGAGAUUUUGCAUGAUAUUGUUGAAGUGUUGAAACACCAGUAUAUGGGAGAUGGAACAGUACAGGAGGGUGAGAAAAAUAAAUGAGUCGGGGGGAAUGCAGUGGUUGAGGGUUGACAGUUUUGCAGAGUCCAAUAUUUGGGCUCUGUAUGACUCUGUUACUCUCCCCAUAUCCCCUUAUAAAAGUAUUAUCUAUAAGUUGACUAUCUCCCUUAUUGGUGUGAACUUAGUGGCCUUAGAUGUAGUCUGAUAUGCUUCAUCAUUCCAUUCUCCAAUAAGGAGAUAGAAAUUAUUACUCCUAGAUUUGAUCUUCUUCUCUGAUUAGGUGAUCGGUUAGGAUUGUCAUAUAGGAGUACAAUAUAUAUAAUGCACCAAGGCUUUUCGGGGAGCUUCUUAUACUGAUUUUGUUUUCGCAGCCUUAAUCUCAAUGGCUGGGGAAUGAUGAUAUCUCUUUGUUUUUCUUUGAUUUUUAUUUACAAUAUUAGAUAUUAACAAAAUAUCUAGCAUGUAUUUGAUGAAGUUCUGAGAUAAAUUUUUUUUGUUCCUUUUUGCAGGUCUAAAAUUUAUAAGGUUUCCAGAAUUUAUAAGCUCAAGUUUGUUCUCUAGGAGGGGCAAACACAUUGGGUCGUGCGACAAAGGUUAUUGUCAUGAACCGUAUUUCUUCUACUUCCUGCAUAAGCUUAGUUCUUCAUUUUAUUUCUGAAUUGUUAUUGCAUUCCUACUGUUUGAUAAAAGCUCUAAGAGAGUUUGUAAUCACUUUUGAAUUGCAUUUACAGCAGUAGUGGCUACUGAAUGUUGAAGGAAUGAUGAAAGUUGUGGAUGAGAGCAGGAGAGGUAUAAGAUAAGUGAAUUUGGAGGAUUUUGUUUUAUGUUCAAGGGUAUUCUCUAAUUUUUACUGAUCAUGUAUAUUUGCAAGUGUACAUUUAUGUUUUUAUGUUUACAAAUCAGUGAAAAAAUGCUCUAGACACCAUAAUAUGUCUACCUGCCUCUGAUUUUCUUUAAUUUGAAGAAGAAUUUGGUUAAUGGUUUGGUAGGCUUUUUAGAUUCACAUAAAUCUUCAUAUUGAAGUUAAGAUGAAACUUUCAUUGGAACCUCUUAUUUGUUUUUGUCUGAUUUCUUAUUUUUUAAUCAUAUAAUUGCUUUGCAGUAAUAGCUACUGGGCCACAAGUAGACUAACCUCAAUAGAAUAAAGAAAUUUCAUCGACCUAACAAGUUCUAUAUAGUAUAGUGUUUCAGUAUCUUUUAAUUGUUUCUUUCUUGAUGCAAUACCAGGGUAAUAACAUGGUGGUGCAUAAAGAUUAGAAUAAACGUACCCAGUAUAUUUUGCUUCUACAGUACAGUUUUGGGUGGGUAGGAUGUCUGCAGACUUCACCUCCAUCUUAGUAUUAGUGAGUCUGUUUCCUAAACGACGCCUGGCUCUGUCAAUGCCAAACGGUGGUGCCUAUGUAACAGUCUGAUGCUCUGUACUUCUGUACUUGGUUUAUGAUAAGAUACUGAUUGCGGUCACUGUAUUUGGCAUCAUUUGAGAAAAUUGAAGCAGCAUUGUCAGCUUAAAAAAUGUACCAUUUUAAACUUGCAUGUGAGUGUUAACUAUAUUUUCUUAAUCAAUGACUAAGCACAUUCAUUACAAGUGAUAGGGUUGAGGCGACCCAAGUACACACUUUCUGUAGGUUUGCCUGUCCAUUCAAUUUUCGUGGAAAUUUUCUGAUAAAUAUAUUGAACUGGAUUUUUGCUUAAUUUGAGAUUCCUAAAUAUUGGAGCUUUACAUAUGGGUUUGCAAAAAUCAAGAUUGAUUAUUGUUUUGACUCUUGAUGCAUACAUGGACUGAUUUGACCUUUAUAUAAUUGAGAAGUACCCUUUGCUAAAUUUAACAUAUUUUGAUCUUGGUUCUUCAUUUUGUGAAUACUAAAUACUAUAGCCAGCCAGUCAGAUCCUUCAAUUAAUAUUGUCAAAGGUGUUUUGGUACAUUCUUAUGAGUCUAAUAAUAAAUUGCAUUGGGCUGGAGUUAAUGUUAUGCUUACUAAGAACUAGCCAGUUUUUUUCUGCUUUUGAUAUCAUCAUCUAACAUUAAAAAUGAUAUUGUUUUUCUGUUGGUUUUAAUCAAUACUCCUUUGGAUUGCUUUUUUAUUAUUGUUUGACAGGCUGAAGUAAAUUCAGUUGUAGCUGUGGAACAUAACAGUGAACGGUCUAGAGCUGCAUUUGUCAUUGGUGAAACAAGAAUCCUGUGUGAAUUUGCUGACAUUGCUCCUGAUGAGAAUUCUUUUGUCCAGAAACAGGAUGAGGUGUCCAGCCUAGCCUCUCAAUCAAGUAUACCUUCUAACUGGUUACGUACUGAAAUAUUGAAAAUGCAGCAUCUCUAGAAAAUGCAUGUUCUGAUCAAGCUCAGAACCACAUUGUAAAUAAAUAAAGGUCGGAGAUUAGUUAAUUAAAAUUACUAAAACACAAUAAUAUAUAUUACACACAAAAUUUAUUUGUUUACAUAUUUAAUUUAGAAAAAAAUUAAAUAUGAUUAGGAAGUAAUUUAUCGAGAGGAGUUUGGUAGGGAUUGAGGAGAAAAGUAAUGAGUAAGAAUCUAUUAUGAGUGAGAAAAGGUACAAGAAUCCUAAUUUUUGUAUGUUGGAAUUUGAUUUGAAGUUAUCACUUAGAAUUUGAGUAAUGGUGCUUAAAUGGUUGAAAUUCUGUUUGUUGCAGGUUUGAUGAAUUUGAUGCUUCUCCAUUAACGGUAGAGCCUAUUACUUCAGCUGGAUAUAUUCAAAUGACCAAGGUGCAAGAGGCAACAAUUGCUGCUUGCCUUAAAUUUGCUGCUUGCCUUAAAGGUAUGUUGACUACUAAAUAAACAUGUAAUAUUUUAAUAUUAACCAUCGUGUUUACAAGUAUAUUUUUAUGUGUCCCAAUUCUUCCAAUAUUGUUCAUUAUUAAUGAUGUCAAGUUUUAUGAAGAGAGGUAGACCAAUUGAUUUUGUAGGAUUUAAAUGAUUAGAAGCUCGAGAUCUUUCUUGCAGUAUUUGUUUAUGUGGCUGCUGACAGUGUGGUCACUUUGUAUAAAAUUCGGAAACCAACUACAUAAGCAGAGAGAACAGUAUAAGAAAAACUGUAAAGAUUUAUCGAAUCAGAUAUUGCAUUCAGACUGUUUUGUAUGCUGGUAAUGUUCAGAGGGACUAAUAUAUGAGAAGACUUCAAUUUGGCCUUGCACGUCUAUUAAAUAACAUCAAAGAGACAAGAACUUUUCAAAAUCUCGCAUCCUACUACAUUGUAUGAGGUUAUUAAUUUUUUAAUAACAGAAAUAUCAUUUCGUAUAGCAUUAUAACAUCUGAGUUACGUGUACAAAGAAAAAAACAUUCAAAAUGUGUUCAUGUAAACAUGCCUAUAUUAUAUGCUAUGUUAUAGGGUAAAUAAUGGGUGAUGAAAGUCCUAGAAAGUGCAAGGGCCUCCCUGUUUCAUUGAAGAGAAGCACUCCUAAAGAAGAAAGCAAGAGAUAUUGCAAUGUCAAUAACAUUUCCCAGGAAAUAUCAUGUAUCAAAAUUAAAUUUUGCUAUGUUUCCUUAGGAUGAUAAAAAAAAAAAGGUUAUUAUUUGGUGUAAUGUUAAGGUUUUAGAUUGACAACUAAAUAUUUGAUUUGGCACUCUUUGCCUUGGUGGCUUCGGGUAAGUUUGUUUAGCAUUCUCUUAACUAUUUCUGUUACUUCGCUAUCUGGAAUGGAUAAGUGUAGGAACUAUGCCUAUAUUAUUCAGUGUAACAGUUGAAAUCUAUAAACUGGAUUAGGGACUUAAACUUGGCUGUAAGUUGUAACUGUUGCAACUACUUUGUUAAGAAUCUCGCAUUUUGACUUCUAGAGCUUGCUCUUGGUUUCUCAAUCCCUAGCAGAUUAUAGUCUCCAACUACUUCUACUUGGUGCUAUUACCUUGCAUAAAAAACUAAAUCACUCUAUUUUGUUUCUAAGAUUAUAUAUCUUUUUUGACUCUAUAUGUAUUGUUAAUGAGUACAUAAAUGAGCAACAACUGUCUUUUUUUAUGUAUAGUAAUUCCUAUAUUUUUUUUAAAAUUUCUAUCUUAAAUUUCUGGAGCUGCUCACUGAUGUUGGCAUGAGCUGAUGAGCAUAACAGAUUAGAAAGAUUUUCAGGACUCUACAAAUUCUUUAUUGCUUUUCCUAUUUCACAUUAUUGUUUUCUUUUGCAGCUAAUAAUUGCAACACAACCGGAUCCAGAGCAUGGGAAUUCGCCAAAAAUUGUAACUGAAGAUAACAUCAAGUUACAGCUGUGUCAAGGUAUGUAUUCAUUUGUAGUAUAGUUUUUAAACAAAAAUUUAUAUUUUAGAACUUUUUUUAAAUGAGGACUAAAUGAAGAAUACAUCGCCAAGGAAACAUUCUAAAUUCUAAAUUUACAUGCAUAUGAUAUUUAAGCCUUUUAUAUUAUUUUGAUAUUUCCAUCGGUAAGAUCGUGCAAAGAGGUAAAUGCUUUUGCUAAAGGUAGUGAAAUAAUUUGAGAUGGGGAGAAAUCCUUGCUGGGAGAAAGUGGAAUUGAAGAGAGGGAUAUGGACUGCUAGAGAAGACGAAAUCUUGACAAAAUUUUAUUACCCUUGGGGCCUUAUUGCAUUUCUUUACCACUUUUUACAUUUUAUAGAGAAGUUUGUGCAUGUUUCUGCGUAGAAGUACAUAGAGGACUGCGCGGGUGCGACUGCUGUUGCUGAUCUGUCACCUCCAUUAGCAUGUUCAAUACUGCUUCAUAGCGUUCAACCAGUUCUUUCUGGUAAAGUUGUGUGAAGUGUUGUGUUAGUUUCAAAGACUUGGAAUCAUGAAUCAUAAUUGAUUUUAAAAAAGGAAAAAGCCACUUUCAAAAUAUUUUCCAUCACAACUAUCUUUCAGUUUGUCACAAAUUAGCCACUACUGACCGACAUAGGCGUUUCUUUUACAGAGGUUGCUGUUGGGGCUGGCUAUGCUAUUACUUAAGUGGAAUUCCUAUUUGAUUUGUGCUUGGCUAUGCUAACCAAUUGCAAUUUAAAGGGAGUCCGUCUAAGUUAUGUCGACUUAUGAGAGUAGAAAAUAUAUUAAAGAGUGAUGAUCCCUGACCAUCGAUCGCCAGGAGUGGCUAAAUAAUAUUAACAAAAAGGAAUGUAUCUUAAAUUAUAAUCCAAUGCGACCAAAUCAUAUGUAACAAAUGUGUGCAUAUACAUGUACUUUGUGGUUGAUGUCUUUGGAAUUUGCUGCCCAAUGUCAACCCUCAGGCACCCUUAGCUCUGUGUUGACAUUUAGAUUGAAAAAUGUAAGCUUUACGUUCGUUAGUUGAUAUGGAAUGGAAUUGAAAAUUGUGAGUGAAAUUUAAGGAAGGAGGAUGUGAUAGUGAGGAAUAAAAUGAUUGGGAUUGCUGUGAAGAGGUUGAGUGAGGUUGUGUGAUUGGAAUGAAAGUUAUGAAUGAUUGUAUGUGUAGUUUUUUCUUAGGAAUUUGUACAAAUUACAUAUAUUUUAAAUUAAGUUGAGCAUUUGUAUUAUCUGGACUGAUGCUAAUGUAAAUGUAUUUUGUGUAGAUGUGUAAAACCUUUCUUAUAUGCGCUUUUAUUUAUAAAGAAAAAUCAAUCCUUUACAAAGUGAAAUUCUUUCUUUGGAAGCAAAUUUUCUGUAGAAUGAAUGAAAUAUCCUAUCCAGACAAAUGUAUACUUCAUACAGAUUUGGGCCUCUUAUUGGUUCCCUCUUACACCCUUUUUUGUUCAAAAAAUCUGUUAAAGCUGAUGUAGAAUUCACAGAAGUUUUCAAAAUGCAUAAAGCCUGCACAAAGAACACAAAUAUUUACUAUAGUUGUUGAUAUGUUUCAAAAUUGUCUUCUGAACUUUGAAUUAUUAAUUUCUCGCACUUAGCUUCUGAUUGAUUCCUCGGGGUAAUCAAUAUAUCUUUUACAUUUAUCAUCACUGGAUAAAAGUUUUGGUCUAAUGAUCGACUUUGAUACAAAGUACUCAAGCUUCCAAUUUUAAUUGAGGUCCAUCCAGACAUGACUCAAUUAGCCUGAUAAAUUAUAAACAAAAUUUGUCUUCCAGUUAUAAUCAAUAAUUUUUAUAAUAAUAAAGUAUUAUAUAUUAUAUUUAAAGUGGAUCUAAUAUAUUUUCGUAAAAUCAAAAUUCUAAAUAAAUAUAAAUCUUUAAAAAAACUUGGGAUUUUCUACUUCUCAGACGUGACCAAUAUAACAUUCAAAAAGAGAAAGAAUUUCAAAACAAUUGUUCUACACUUUCUAAGAAGUAUCUGUAACUGUAAUUGUAUAUUUUAAUUUAGGCAAAUGAGACGCACACUUUAAAAUAUAAAUUUAUAAUUUUUUUCUCAAGAUUACAUUAUCAUAAAUACACAUAGAAGAUCAUUUAUAAGGUCUAACUAUGAUUCAUGUGCCCGUCGACAAAAAUGACAUACAUUAUUUAUAAAUAUAUUUUAAAUGAUUGAAUUUUAAGUUUAAAAAAAUGAAUGAAUUUUAUAAAUAUACAAAAUUUAUUUAAAAUAAAAAUCAUUAACCAUGCGUAAAAUCAUUAAAGAUCGAGGUAUGGCCGCCAGGCCAUGCCGAGAAAUUUUUAUCGAAAAUAAAAUAUUUAUAUUGAAUAGCUUUUUAUUUUAAAAAAUAUAAUAUAUUCGAGUCAUAAGAUCAUGUUUACAUAUCAUAAUUAGAUAUAAUUGAUCCAUUGAGAUUAUCUUAAAAUAAAAUGCUUAUUACUUAUAUGCGAGAUAUUAAUCACAAACAAAAACUAAGAUUCAAUUUAUGAGAAAUUAAAUAAUAAAAUCAGUUAUUUUAAUAAUAUAAAUAAAUUUAAGAAUUUUAUGCUAUUAUUUUUAUAGAAUAAUGAUGAUAUUUGAAUUUAUUGUCAUUAAAGAUCGAGGCAUGGCCGUCAGGCCAUGCCGAGAAAUCUUUUAUCGAAAAGAAAAUAUUUAUAUUGAAUAGUUUCUUAUAUUUGAAAUAUAUAAUGUAUUUCAGUCAGAAUAUAAUGUUUACAUAUCAUAAUUAUAUAUAAUGGGUCCAUUAGGAUUAUAUUAAAAGAAAAUGCUUAUUACUUAUAUGCGAGAUAUUAAUUACAAGCAAAAACUAAGAUUUAAUUUAUGAGAAAUUAAAUAAUAACACCCGUUAUUUUGAUAAUAUAAAUAAAUUUGAUAAUUUUAUACUAUUGUUUUUAUAGAAUAGUGAUGAUAUUUGAAUUUAUUAUCAUUAAAGAUCGAGUCGUGGCCGUUAGGUCAUGCCGGGAAAUCUUUUAUCGAAAAGAAGAUAUUUAUAUUGAGUAGUUUUUUAUAUUUGAAAAAUAUAAUAUUUUUCAGUCAGAAAAUAAUGUUUACAUAUCAUAAUUAGAUAUAAUAGAUAUAAUGAGGCCAUUGAAAUUAUCUUAAAAGAAAAUGCUUAUCACUAAAUAUCGAGGCAUGGCCAGAAAUCUUUUAUUGAAAAGAAAAUAUUUAUAUUGAAUAGUUUCUUAUAUUUGAAAAAUAUAAUGUAUUUCAGUAAGAAUAUAAUGUCUACAUAUCAUAAUUAGAUAUAAUAGAUAUAAUGUGGCCAUUGCGAUUAUCCUAAAAGAAAAUGCUUAUCACUAAAGAUUAACGGCCAUGCCAAUAAAUCUUUUAUCGAAAAGAAAAUGUUUACAUUGAAUAGUUUCUUAUAUUUGAAAAAAAUAAUGUAUUUCAGUUAGAAGAUAAUGUUUACAUAUCAUAAUUGGAUAUUAUUAUAGUUUUGAAAAAAAAAUGUAAUAGUUAAAACAAUAUUAUAUAAUGUAUUAGCAAAAAUAAUACAACAAAAACUUAUGAUCUCCUUUUUAAUAUGUGUGUUCGAUGGAACGGGAAUUUCUAAUGAGUAUGUUCAAUGGAACAGGAACUUUCACAAUUUGUUUUGAAAAUAACCCAACAUAUUUAUUUGGACCUAAGGAUUUAUAGUGUGUCUAAUCAAAGUAACAUUUCAUAACAAAUUGUUUAAUUUAUUUGGGCUUAAGGAUAAAGAAUUUAUAAUAUUUUUUUGGUAUUUCCUUUUUUGGAUUUCAUAAAAAAAAUUGACAUUGCGACCUACAAUCAUUUCAGGUUCUAAAAAAAAUUGUAAUAGUAAAAACUAUAUUAUAUAAUAUAUAUCUAAAAAAACAACAACAAGCACUUAUGAUUUAGUUUUUAAUAAGUAUGAUCGAUAAAUAUGUUGCCAAAAAAAAUAUUUUUUUUGGACAAAAGUUGAAUUUUUGUUAUGAAUAUGAACACCUUAAAAUAAAAAUUAUCUUAAUAAUUAGAUUAUUAUAUACUUCAAUAAUAUUAUCAAAAUAAAAAAAUCAUCGAUUUCCAUGCGUAGCGGGCAUAAAUACUAAUGUUCGGAAAUGAUUCUCACACUGAAUCUUGAAUCUAGACCACUGUUUAGAAGGAAGAAUACCUAUCUGAAUCAGAAGCCCUUGACAAAAUGAAACAACCCAUUAGACUUAUUUGGGCCUAAGAGCCUAAGGAUCCACAAUUUGGCAGAUGAAAGAAACAUUUCAUAAUAAAUUGUGUAAUUUAUUUGGGCCUAAGAAUUAAGCAUUUAUAAUAUUUUGUUGGUAUUUCAUUUUAUGGAUUUCAUAACAUAAAUUAACAUUGCCACCUGUAAUCAUUUAAGCUUUUCAAAUAAAUGUAAUAAUACAAAAUAUAUUCUAUAAUAUAUUUCGAAAAUAAAACAACCAAUUAUACAACUCAAUCUUCAACAAUGUUUUGGGCCUGAAAAUCCACAAAUUGACAGAUCAAUGUAACUUUGCAUAAGAAAUUUAUUUUAACUAUUUGGGCCUAACAAUUGAGAAUUUAGAAAAAAAAUUGCAAUAUUUCAUAGUACAGCCAAAUAGUAUAGACAUUUAAUUUUGACAAACAAAAUUUCAUAAAUGAAAAGAAUUAAAUAUUCAAUUAAUACACAAUAUAUAUAAUUAUAAAUAUGUCUUCAAUGCAGAGAAGAACAACCGUCACAUUAAAAAAUGUUGGGGGAAGAAUAUUGCACAGCACCAUAGACUUGACAUGUAAAUAGACUUGACAGUAUCACAGUAAACAUGCAUGAAAAAUGAAAAAUCAAAUCUUACGCUUACUAACUUAUCACUAUUCAAACAUAUAUUCCAUUCUUCUUUUUCUUCUUCUUUUUACAACUUCUUCGGUAUAUAUAAAUAAAUAUAUGUCAACAUCUAAUUUUGCAAGUUACAAAAUAUACAUUAUCGAUAACAUAAUAUGUAUUUCAUAAUUNUCACAGUAAACAUGCAUGAAAAAUGAAAAAUCAAAUCUUACGCUUACUAACUUAUCACUAUUCAAACAUAUAUUCCAUUCUUCUUUUUCUUCUUCUUUUUACAACUUCUUCGGUAUAUAAAUAAAUAUAUGUCAACAUCUAAUUUUGCAAGUUACAAAAUAUACAUUAGCGAUAACAUAAUAUGUAUUUCAUAAUUUAAAAUAACUUAAUUACGUUGAAAGGUACUUCUAACAAAUAUAAUAAUUAGAAUAUACAACAAAUUUAUUGAUAUACUAAAUUGUUUCAAAGAACGACUACUUUUAGGGAAAUGUUGAAAUAUUUUAUUUAUACUUUCAAAACUAUAGUUCCACGCCAGUAAGUUUUUUCCUCAAGUUUCAAACAUUUAUUUUGAAAAUAAAAAGAUUACUAAAUGUAGAGGUUUUGAAAGAAUACAAACAUAAAUGCAGAAGUCAUAACGUUUAAACUAAAUUUCGAUGAUACUUCUAUAUCAUUUAAAUUCAGUAACUUAACAUUAAUAUGUAUGUAUUUCUAAUAUGUAUGUUCGAUGGAACGGGAAAUUUCGCAAAUUGCUUUGAAAAUAACCCAAUAAAAUUAUCUGCGCCUAAGGAUCCACAUUAUGUCAGGUGUAAGUAACAUUUCAUAAUAAAUUGUUUAAAUUAUUUGGGCCUAAGAGAAGAAUCAAGAAUUUAUAUUAUUUUUUUUGGAAUUUGUAAUAGCAAAAACGAUAUUAUAUAAUAUAUUUUAAAAAAAAACACCAACCAAUGAUUUUUCUUCGAAAAAACAUGAAUUUCCUUUAUAAAUAUGAACACCUUAAUAUACCAAAUUAUAUUAAUAGUUAGAUUAUUAUAUAUUUCAAUAAUAUUAAUAAACAAAAAAAUCAUCGAUUUCCCAUGCGUAGCGGGCCUAAAUACUAGUAGUAAUAAGGGAACAAAUAUAUGAAUUGUUAUUGGAAGUGACACAGAUUACAUGAAUCACUAAGGGGGUGUUUGUUUCAUGGUUAAUGGGCCCGGUUAACGGGAAUCGGAACCUUAAUCCCAUGCAUAGUUGUUUGGAUUAGUUAUUUGGUGCUAGGGAAUGAGAACUCCAAUCCUCUUAAGUGGUUAAAUCAUACAAAUAUAUUUAACAAUAAAUUUGCUCUAAAGCAUUGAAACACAUUUUGCCUGUGAUAACAUUCAAUCUGAUGUACUUUGAGUUAUUUAACCUAUAAGAGGUAACAUCUAAUAGCUAAAACAAAUCAAAAAACUAUUGAGAAGAAUAUGCAGCAAGGUGAGAUAAAAUAAGAGCUUAUAGUCCGAAAAUUGUAUGAUCACCAGGCUGCAAAUAUUUUAGCUGUUAGCGGUUAGCUGUUAGCGGAUUAAAUUAGAUGUUUUGACUAGUGGAUUGAAAUAGAUGCUUUGACUAGCGGAUUAAAUUAGUUGUUUCUCGUAAAACUGUUUGGUUAAUAGCUGAUUGAUUAGCUUUUUCUAACCCAAACCAAAACCUCUAACCCAAAAAUCAAAGUAGCUUUUUCAAAAUUAGCUUUUUGAGUCCAAACCUCUAUUUCAAUCCGCUAACUACCAAACACUUGUAUUAGCGGAUUCUAGUGGUCAAACCUCUAACUCACCUCAAACCUCUAAUUUUGCCCCAAAUCUCUAACUUCAAAACAGAGCCAAUAUCAUUCUACUUAUUGGCUGGUCCGACCUGGAAACACCCCCUGUAACAGAAUUGCUACAAGUCGUCCCCUCUUAUGGUGAUAUCCUUUCAAAAACGAGUUAAGAGACUUCAUCAACGACUUGUAAGGUGUGGUCUUCAAUUCUUGCGUUGGCAGAGUCGAUGACUUCCUAUUCUCUCUUAUUUUCCAAAUGGUUUACAACUAGAUAGUAAGUCUUAGAGUCCAAUAUCUCAACUGUGAUGUACACCAAGACAUCCUCAAGCAUUCAUCAAUGUCAACCAAUAAAGACAGAUCUUUUGUUAAAAUCCAGACCUCUACAUGUGAAAGAAAAACUAACGUUCAACAAUGUAGACUUGCAUCUAUUCAAGUCCUGUAGUGAUGAUCAAGAACUCCUAUAAAAAGCCAUCCUACAUUCCAUCCAUCCUAAGAUACAAAAAAAUGUCUCUCGUCUACUUGAACUUACUCCUCAUUUUCGGAGCAUUGGUUCUCAAUUCCCCUUCCCUUGCUAUUCGCUAUCCAAAUCACAAACCCUCACCAGAGCACAAUCCAUUAUCACCAGAGUACGGACAGUUAGUUCACAAGCCACCACCAAAAUCCAAUCUGCUUUUCCACACACCACCAGUCCCAGUCAUUCCACAACCUUCAGAAACGUUUAAGACAAAACCAGUCUGGAAUAACAGGCCAAGUCCUGCUGCUAAAGCUCCCGUGUAUCCUGGUGAUAAACCGCGUGCACCACCACCACCGUCUACUCAAGAAGCAUUGACAGCCUAUUUUCACCACCCUGGACACCUUCCAGCAGAGAAAACAGGAAACUAGACAAACCUACACUACAUUAAAUUCAACCAUCCGAUCCGCCAUGCUAUGCAACUAGUUUGCUAGAAAUCAAAGUUUCUGAAUCCAUAUGUUAUUAUCAGCCAAAACAUUCUCCUUUGUGGAUCAACGCUCCUAAGGUCGCUAGUAUCACGUCCUAGUGACCAAAGAAUAAGUCCUAUAUAUCAAGUAUUCUAGACGUUUGAGUCUAAAUUACAUAUUAGUUCUUUCUUUUAUUUGCCUAUAAAAUAGAUUAUACACACUCUUGUACUUGUCAAUAAAACCAUCUGCUCUACUGUAUAUGUAUCUCAGAAUGUGACCUUAGUUCAUCAUGAAUAACAAAAAACUACAACUCAAACCUUCUUGUAUGCGAAGCUUGUCAAAGAAGAUGGUGCUCUUUC